UCGGUGAAGUCCGUCAUGGAAUUUAAGUGGUAGAGUGGUAAGUGGGCGUAUGGUCUAUGGAUUUCCUAUCAGUGGCAUUAGUUCCUUCUCUAGAUAGAUGGCUAUUGAGCUUCUCAUUCGUGAGAGUCAUGCGCCGGAUCAAGGGCUCUCUCAUCUCCUAUUUGGAAAUGUAUAGGUUCUGUAAGUGGCCAGUGCCCGCGGGUAAAGGCUGAUCAUCAAAAGUCAUCUAAUCCAUCUAAGUACCGGUAUUGCCCAGUGCUUGACUGGAGUUGUCCUGAUACCCGGAUACUCACCUCACUAUACGCCAAUUCAGGGAAAGGUCAUGCUGGGAAGCUUCCUUGAAAGAUAGUCUCAACACUCUCGAUGAGAAACGAGAACCCAGCCGACGAAGGUUUAUGCAUAUAUUGGUCCGCAUCCAGAGGAAGUCAAGGUUUCCAGAUGUGCUCAUCCCUGCUUGCUGAUAUGCAAAUCGAUUGGAAUUGGCAAAUCAUAGAGUUUGUCGCUGACAAGAGCUGUUUUGGCCAUGGUGAUCCUCCUCUCAAUACCCAUUCCUGCGAAUUCCCAAUCCAAUUAUAUUAGUCUAAUGUGUAGAAGAAAAAGGGGAAUCCAUGAGAAAGCCCAUAUUGUUCAUGGCAAUGGAACAUUCCUUUCCACUUUUGUGAAUGGAGAUCACUGACGAGCACUCUUGCGCAAAUCAAGAGUAAAGGUAGGAGCUAUGAAUCUGUCCCGGGUAGGAAAGGAUCCCUUUGAGUUCAUAUUGCUGCAGGAGAAAGAGAAGGGCACAGAGCUUCUAUAUACCACUGGAUUCCACCAGACUGUUCUGUGGAAAACACGACACCCUAUCCCUUCCCUGACGGGAACCUGGAUACCAUAGCAUAGGAACCUCCCCUUCCCUGACGGGAUACUAGAUACCAUAGCAUAGGAACCUCGAAAAUACGUAUUAUAGGUUGGUUGUAUACACACUCAUCCUUUGAGAAGAUAAGAGAGCCCCGCGGACAUUUCCUUCCUCGAAACCAGGAAACUGAUACUGCCUCGAUUCUGCUUCCGUCUAUCAUGUCCAAUCUUACUUUCGUGCCGAUGAAGGGCAGUCCGGAAGGUGGAGUUAGCACCGGGCCUAUUCUUAGAAGCUGAAGUAGGAGUAGGAGCACUCUUCUUCCUCAAGCGUAGCCGUAUUAGUUGGAUUCAGCAUCCUUUUCGACUGGAGAUACCCUCGCAUUACCGGCUUCCCGACAUACUGGCAAGUUUACUUGACUCACCCAUUCUUAAGACUGGCCUGGCCACUACUUUGUUUGAUUUCCUUGUCACUGUAGUAAGCAAGCGGCACCUAUUGAUCUACUUCCCUCUAGCAUCACUCAUCCUUACGGCACUAGUCCAUCCAUCCCUCGACCGAAGAGAGUCUUCCUCCUCACGGAACUAGGGUUUGAUUUCAUAGACAAGACUUUCGAGCGCGACGUUGCGCACAUCCUAUUGCUUGGUAUCUUUUCUAGUGUGCAUCACAUUCAUUUUCCUUUCCAUGAAUUUUCCUUUCAUGUAGAUAUGAUAAUCUUCGUGGCAUCAACCUCAUAUAGGAGCUGCCAGUAGUACUUUCGCGGGAUUUGAAAGCAGGCAAACCUAUGAUGCGAGUCUAGUUAGAAUAGAACCAGUGCACUCUGAAAUCCGAACCAACCAAUACGGUUCGCUUUCCUCUGCUCGUAUAGACUCCGUUCGUGUUAGGACAUCCAUAGCCAAUAGUAAUAGUAGCUAGUAGCUUCGCCCCCCUUGCCCCGGAAAGGUUCUCAUUCCUCACUGGAUCUAGUUGACUUGCUGCUACAGCAAUCAAUCUAUCUAUAUGUUCCUGACGGAAGAGAGAGUUUCCUACAUUCCCAUUCCCAUGAACUGAACAUCGGGUACCAACGAUCUGAAAUCCCGUGCUGAAACCUACAGAUAUGCACCUGUGCGGACCAACCUAGCAAUCCUCCUGUCUAUUCUUUCUAUCUGGACUAGCGCUUCCCACUGGAGCUUACUACUUGACUAGAGCACUUGAACUUGUUAGUUUCAUUAGUCAGUUUCCUAGCAUAGCAAAGUGAGUUUCCCAUCAACGGAUUAUCAUCCUCUUGUUUCC
rnacentral:lncRNA from 1 species